GUGGGUUAGAUCAGAUCUCUUUUACUACCAUAGUUUUCUGUUAUAAUUUUUGCAAAGGCAGUUUCAGCUUCUCUGCAAAAUCUCAGGCAAGUUAUACAUCACUCAGUAAUAAUUCCAGGCAAGUGGGUUCUUUUGGAAAGCCUUGAGGCUCUUUGGUCUGUGUCCAGAUUGGUUUUGGGGUGAAAGCAGAAUCAGUUCACCUGGACGUAGGAGCUGGAGGAUGAUUUAGGGACACACCACAAGUACGUUGUUGGGCUCUGGUGCAGCAUGCAGGAGAGGCUCUGGUGCAGCAUGCAGGAGAGGCUCUGGUGCAGCAUGCAGGAGAGGCUCUGGUGCAGCAUGCAGGAGAGGCUCUGGUGCAGCAUGCAGGAGAGGCUCUGGUGCCUGGAGCCCCCCACUCCUCCCCACUGGCCUGUCUUCACCUGCCUCACCUGACUUAAGUCCCACACUGUAAGAUGAUCUAAUGGUUUAGCCAAUAGACAAGGAAAUUGGUCACAUCUGCGAUUCCCAGGGAGCGCUCCACAUCGCACAAAUGGCCUCAGGGUAGAUAUUCCGCCACGCAAGGUUCUGUGGGAAGAUGAAUUGGGGGAACAUGGGGUUGAAGUAAAUGAAAGAGCUCCUUGCUGUGACAUUAGUUUGAGCCUUUAAUGGGAUUCUACGGUAAUGUGGCAUUUUCCGAACAUUUUAACCACAGUCUGGUGUGUGUGUGUGUGUGUGUGUGUGUAUGUUACGUUCACAUUUGUGGCUGGUGCUCUCUGGAACAUAAACACACCUACAGCAACACUGCUGUAGAAUGAAGGGGCAGAGCUAGAGGGGCCAAUGGGUCCAAAGGGAGGGGCCCAGGGAAGACUCAGCGGGUUCUCUCACCUAGUUUAGACACUCUACCGCAGCCACUGGGAUCCUGUUCCCACAUGGAAGCGCGCCAUUCAGAUGUGGAAAACACAGCAAAAGUAGCUGAGAUAGGCUUUGGCUGGGAGUGGCCCCAGUGGAAGCCCUGACACCCUCUCCUCCUGGCAGGCCCCAGGCCCCGCACACCUUCUGCCUGCCCCCCGUGGGGCCCUCUGUUCCGCUGCUCUUGGCCUAGGCACAGGGGGCUACUUUUCUGCUGCUGCUCCUGUAUGGUUCCCUUCCCACGCCCCACUAAGGUGGCCUGGCCCUGGACCAGCCUCUCAACCCCCUCUUAUGAUGUUUGCCUCUUGAGGGCUGUCACAACCUCAUUAGGGCCACCCCAUUGAUUAUCCAAGGAUGGGCGCAGGGAGCAGCCCCACCCUGAGCAGGUGGGGCCUUGCUCUCCAAGGGCCUGGGAGAAAGACAGCUCCUGCAGCCACCAUGAUGCCACUAUGCAGAAUCCCCGAGGUUCUGUGGCUUCUGUAGGCUCAGAGCCCUGGACACCAGUGCCAGGGUCAUCGAAGGAAGGAGGAACAGAGUGCGUCACUGAAGGUAGCAGGACAAGAAUCCACAUCGGGAAGCCACCACUUCCUGAGUCAUAUUAUUUCUGUAUCUGGAAAGCAAGCUUCCAGCAGUCCAGUGUGCUGUUGGAGCAGGACAAGAAUCCACAUCGGGAAGCCACCACUUCCUGAGUCAUGUUAUUUCUGUAUCUGGAAAGCAAGCUUCCAGCAGUCCAGUGUGCUGUUGGAGCAGGACAAGAAUCCACAUCGGGAAGCCACCACUUCCUGAGUCAUAUUAUUUCUGUAUCUGGAAAGCAAGCUUCCAGCAGUCCAGUGUGCUGUUGGAGCAGGACAAGAAUCCACAUCGGGAAGCCACCACUUCCUGAGUCAUGUUAUUUCUGUAUCUGGAAAGCAAGCUUCCAGCAGUCCAGUGUGCUGUUGGAGCAGGACAAGAAUCCACAUCGGGAAGCCACCACUUCCUGAGUCAUAUUAUUUCUGUAUCUGGAAAGCAAGCUUCCAGCAGUCCAGUGUGCUGUUGGAGCAGGACAAGAAUCCACAUCGGGAAGCCACCACUUCCUGAGUCAUGUUAUUUCUGUAUCUGGAAAGCAAGCUUCCAGCAGUCCAGUGUGCUGUUGGAGCAGGACAAGAAUCCACAUCGGGAAGCCACCACUUCCUGAGUCAUAUUAUUUCUGUAUCUGGAAAGCAAGCUUCCAGCAGUCCAGUGUGCUGUUGGAGCAGGACAAGAAUCCACAUCGGGAAGCCACCACUUCCUGAGUCAUAUUAUUUCUGUAUCUGGAAAGCAAGCUUCCAGCAGUCCAGUGUGCUGUUGGAGCAGGACAAGAAUCCACAUCGGGAAGCCACCACUUCCUGAGUCAUAUUAUUUCUGUAUCUGGAAAGCAAGCUUCCAGCAGUCCAGUGUGCUGUUGGAGCAGGACAAGAAUCCACAUCGGGAAGCCACCACUUCCUGAGUCAUAUUAUUUCUGUAUCUGGAAAGCAAGCUUCCAGCAGUCCAGUGUGCUGUUGGAGCAGGACAAGAAUCCACAUCGGGAAGCCACCACUUCCUGAGUCAUAUUAUUUCUGUAUCUGGAAAGCAAGCUUCCAGCAGUCCAGUGUGCUGUUGGAGCAGGACAAGAAUCCACAUCGGGAAGCCACCACUUCCUGAGUCAUAUUAUUUCUGUAUCUGGAAAGCAAGCUUCCAGCAGUCCAGUGUGCUGUUGGAGCAGGACAAGAAUCCACAUCGGGAAGCCACCACUUCCUGAGUCAUGUUAUUUCUGUAUCUGGAAAGCAAGCUUCCAGCAGUCCAGUGUGCUGUUGGAGCAGGACAAGAAUCCACAUCGGGAAGCCACCACUUCCUGAGUCAUGUUAUUUCUGUAUCUGGAAAGCAAGCUUCCAGCAGUCCAGUGUGCUGUUGGAGCAGGACAAGAAUCCACAUCGGGAAGCCGCCACUUCCUGAGUCAUAUUAUUUCUGUAUCUGGAAAGCAAGCUUCCAGCAGUCCAGUGUGCUGUUGGAGCAGGACAAGAAUCCACAUCGGGAAGCCACCACUUCCUGAGUCAUAUUAUUUCUGUAUCUGGAAAGCAAGCUUCCAGCAGUCCAGUGUGCUGUUGGAGCAGGACAAGAAUCCACAUCGGGAAGCCACCACUUCCUGAGUCAUAUUAUUUCUGUAUCUGGAAAGCAAGCUUCCAGCAGUCCAGUGUGCUGUUGGAGCAGGACAAGAAUCCACAUCGGGAAGCCACCACUUCCUGAGUCAUAUUAUUUCUGUAUCUGGAAAGCAAGCUUCCAGCAGUCCAGUGUGCUGUUGGAGCAGGACAAGAAUCCACAUCGGGAAGCCACCACUUCCUGAGUCAUAUUAUUUCUGUAUCUGGAAAGCAAGCUUCCAGCAGUCCAGUGUGCUGUUGGAAGGCAGCACCUUUAUUAAAAGAAAAGAGGUGUUAGGGCAUGAGACUCACCUG
rnacentral:lncRNA from 1 species